ACUACUCCCGAAUCCUUUCGCGUGCAGCACUCCGGCUCGACAAAAAUGGCAGCCACACAGCGCUAGUGUGGAUGACCCGUGCGAUGGCGUGGGUAUAAUCAUACAAGAACCCACCAAAACGACCAACAGCGUUUUUCACCCGGCUGCCAAUAAUUUCGCCAAAAAACGUAGAGCGGUUUCCGCAAACCGACUGCGAGCUGAAUACUGAGAUGUGUGACAAUACAAAAACUUCAUGAAAGCCUGUUCAGAGGUAAGACCAGCUUGCCAACCUUUCAGUCUCUCAGCUGAGGUUUUCAUGGCAAAACACAAGUAACGACAUCACACAUACACUAUACAUUUAUGUUCCUUUUCAUCGCAGUGCAGAAGUUAGCGUGCCCCAGGGACAAUUUGCUGCCCCUGAUAGGCAAACACAACCUGGCACACUUCAUCACUUCCCUCAAACAUUCCCAUUUUUGAAACAUUUUUCUAGCGCAUUUUAGUGUAAACCUUAUUUCAUAUCAUCAUUGGGAUAAAGUACCAGUGAGACCCCACAAA